CGUAGGGUCCGAGCGUUGUCCGGAAUUACUGGGGCGUAAAGAGCUCGUAGGUGGUUUGUCGCGUUGUUCGUGAAAACCGGGGGCUUAACCCUCGGCGUGCGGGCGAUACGGGCAGACUUGAGUACUGCAGGGGAGACUGGAAUUCCUGGUGUAGCGGUGGAAUGCGCAGAUAUCAGGAGGAACACCGGUGGCGAAGGCGGGUCUCUGGGCAGUAACUGACGCUGAGGAGCGAAAGCGUGGGGAGCGAACAGGAUU
rnacentral:rRNA from 1 species